GAUGAACGCUGGCGGCGUGCCUAAUACAUGCAAGUCGAGCGAACAGACGAGGAGCUUGCUCCUCUGACGUUAGCGGCGGACGGGUGAGUAACACGUGGAUAACCUACCUAUAAGACUGGGAUAACUUCGGGAAACCGGAGCUAAUACCGGAUAAUAUAUUGAACCGCAUGGUUCAAUAGUGAAAGACGGUUUUGCUGUCACUUAUAGAUGGAUCCGCGCCGCAUUAGCUAGUUGGUAAGGUAACGGCUUACCAAGGCAACGAUGCGUAGCCGACCUGAGAGGGUGCUCGGCCACACUGGAACUGAGACACGGUCCAGACUCCUACGGGAGGCAGCAGUAGGGAAUCUUCCGCAAUGGGCGAAAGCCUGACGGAGCAACGCCGCGUGAGUGAUGAAGGCCUUCGGAUCGUAAAACUCUGUUAUUAGGGAAGAACAAAUGUGUAAGUAACUAUGCACGUCUUGACGGUACCUAAUCAGAAAGCCACGGCUAACUACGUG
rnacentral:rRNA from 1 species